UACGUAGGGGGCAAGCGUUGUCCGGAAUCAUUGGGCGUAAAGCGCGUGUAGGCGGCUCGGUAAGUCUGCUGUGAAAGUCCAGGGCUCAACCCUGGGAUGCCGGUGGAUACUGUCGAGCUCGAGUCCGGAAGAGGCGAGUGAAAUUCCUGGUGUAGCGGUGAAAUGCGCAGAUAUCAGGAGGAACACCAAUGGCGAAGGCAGCUCGCUGGGACGUGACUGACGCUGAGACGCGAAAGCGUGGGGAGCAAACAGG
rnacentral:rRNA from 1 species